UGCGGAGGGAUCAUUACACAAAUAUGAAGGCGGGCUGGAAUCUCUCGGGGUUACAGCCUUGCUGAAUUAUUCACCCUUGUCUUUUGCGUACUUCUUGUUUCCUUGGUGGGUUCGCCCACCACUAGGACAAACAUAAACCUUUUGUAAUUGCAAUCAGCGUCAGUAACAAAUUAAUAAUUACAACUUUCAACAACGGAUCUCUUGGUUCUGGCAUCGAUGAAGAACGCAGCGAAAUGCGAUAAGUAGUGUGAAUUGCAGAAUUCAGUGAAUCAUCGAAUCUUUGAACGCACAUUGCGCCCUUUGGUAUUCCAAAGGGCAUGCCUGUUCGAGCGUCAUUUGUACCCUCAAGCUUUGCUUGGUGUUGGGCGUCUUGUCUCUAGCUUUGCUGGAGACUCGCCUUAAAGUAAUUGGCAGCCGGCCUACUGGUUUCGGAGCGCAGCACAAGUCGCACUCUCUAUCAGCAAAGGUCUAGCAUCCAUUAAGCCUUUUUUCAACUUUUGACCUCGGAUCAGGUAGGGAUACCCGCUGAACUUAAGCAUAUCA
rnacentral:rRNA from 1 species